rnacentral:rRNA from 1 species
GCUUAGAAGCAGCCACCAUUUAAAAAGUGCGUAACAGCUUACCAGUCGAGCAUUUCUGCGCCGAUAAUGAACGGGAGUAAGUAGUACACCGAAGCAGCGGAUUCUAGAUUUAUCUAGAGUGGUAGGAGAGCGCCGAUGAUCAGAUACGAGCCGUACGGUAACGAGCGGUGUCGGGGUCAUCGGGUGAUUAUGCCGGAAUGAGUAACGAUAAAACAGGUGAGAAUCCUGUUCGCCGAAAGCCUAAGGUUUCCUGGGGAAGGUAA